AACCUUCACCUUAAUUGACCGACGUGGUUCCGGCGAGACUGGGGCAUGCACCACCACCAUCUUGACCACCUCUUCUCACUCUUCACAACCAUGUAUCUUGAUCGUCUUUUCACCAUCGGUUUUGGUGAAAUUGAACCAUAGGCGGUGAGACUCCUUUGGAGAUUUUCUGGUGAUUCCAUGACUUCCGACGAGCUCCUAGCCUCCUUUUCGGUAAGACUAAGCUUCUAUCUUAAUUCCCAAUCAAUUCCACCUUUUGUUUCGUCGAAUUGAAGCUUAACCCAAUUUCAAUUUUCUGGGUUUCUUCACUUCCACCGCACCUCCACCUUAAAUUCUCGACUUCCCGGCGACUUCCUUUGGCUUUUGGGAUAACUUGAGGUGAGCUAGGCGCGGCCUAAGGUGAUUUCUGGGCAGCAGCGAAACGAGAGGAUCAGAGGAGCAAACUAUCACCACUUCUGCAUUUCUGGAAAAAUCGAUGAGAGUUGAUGCUACGAGAUCGAGCAGUGGAGCAGCAACAACAACUACUUAUAUUGAUUUGGAUAACGGUUGUGAUUCUGCACGUCAUUCCAGGAAGCGGACAAUAUCAAUCUCUCAUUUAGGUGGAAAACCAAAAGUAGUAUAACACUAUUGAGAGGAUCCCAUUUGCAGAACAAGUUUGACUUUGAUACACGAAGAUGUCAAGACUUAGGAAGAAUGAGAGUUUGAGUUAUUAAUAGAUCAAAGUUGACGCAUCACCACAAAGCUGGCUCAAAGUCAUUCAUGUCUGACCAAGAGCAAAUUGCAACACAAACAAGAGAAUGCAAGGUGCAAAUGAUCGCUUUGAAACUGAGUACUGAAACAUUAAAAAUGGUUGAGACUUGCGAGCAAAAGUAAAGUGGGAUUAAAUGAUACAUAUGUGAAAUGCGACGACUCAACCUGAUGGGAUUCGUACAAUGACAGAUGAUCAAAUUUGUGAAAAAGUUCUUGGAAUCAAAUCCGGCUACAUCAAGGGCUGUGGUUUUGGCCCUAGGCCUCCACCAUCAAGAAUUUCUCAUUCAUCAAUUAAUGAAAUGUCCGAAAAGAACAAAGACUUAGAAGAACAAUUUCAAGAGACCCAACAACUUGUAGGAAGUCAACAAGAAAAGAUUGAUGCACAAACUGAGGUGAUCCAAAGAUUGGAGGAGCAAGCCAAAAGGUUCGAGGAGUUCAUGGCUAACUUUUCCGGGCAACAGCCUUCUGCUUCAGCAUAUUUAUUUUUGAAAUUAAACAUAGAGAAAUUUCUUAGAACAUCUUGCAUUUGUUAUCGUAGACAAUAUUUUAAUAAUAAUUUAUUAUUGAAUUUUUAUUGGUU